GCCUCAGUGACCUAAUGGAUGAAAUACUAGCCUCCUAAGCCAGGGAUUGUGGGCUCAAGUCCCAUCUGGGGUG
rnacentral:tRNA from 1 species